rnacentral:ribozyme from 1 species
CAGAAGAGGAUGCACAUUAUUUAUUUUAUUAUCAUGGCAUCCAUUUUCUAAUUAUAUCUUUUCUUUCUUCAUUUUUUGUUGUCAUAUAUUGUAUUGUCUUUGUACCAUACCAGACAGAGAGACGGAAGAAGGA